UACAGAGGGUGCGAGCGUUAAUCGGAAUUACUGGGCGUAAAGCGCACGUAGGCGGCUUUCUAAGUCGGGGGUGAAAUCCUGGAGCUCAACUCCAGAACUGCCUUCGAUACUGGAGAGCUCGAGUCCGGGAGAGGUGAGUGGAACUGCGAGUGUAGAGGUGAAAUUCGUAGAUAUUCGCAAGAACACCAGUGGCGAAGGCGGCUCACUGGCCCGGUACUGACGCUGAGGUGCGAAAGCGUGGGGAGCAAACAGG
rnacentral:rRNA from 1 species